UGCGGUCGAACUCCGGUUGAUCCUGCCGGACCCGACUGCUAUCGGGGUGGGGCUAAGCCAUGCAAGUCGUGGGCCCCAGGCUAUGGUGGGGCCCGGCGUACGGCUCAGUAGCACGUGGCUAACCUACCCUCGGGAGGGGGACAACCCCUUGGGAAACUGGGGCUAAUACCCCAUAGGGGAGAGCCCCUGGAAUGGGCUCUUCCCGAAAGGGAUGUAGCGCCAUGCCCGCUGCAUCCGCCCGAGGAUGGGGCUGCGGCCCAUCAGGUAGUUGGCGGGGUAACGGCCCGCCAAGCCUAUAACGGGUGGGGGCCGUGAGAGCGGGAGCCCCGAGAUGGGCACUGAGACAAGGGCCCAGGC
rnacentral:rRNA from 1 species